UUAUCAUUAGGUCUUUCCACUUUUCUGUGGAAAGACCUAUUGUUUUUCUUCUGAUUAUUUUUUUUUUCUUCCGCCUAAUUUUGUUCUUGCGAUAAACAUUUGUUUCGCAAUAUGUCGCUUAGAUAUUUGGUAUAUGAUAUCGAACAGUUUAUGCGCUUUUGAAAUUUACCCUGCGUAAACGAAUACUUUUCUUUGUAGGAGUUAUCUCCCCAAACACUGAUUUCCUUGUUAGCGCAUCUCCUUCGUAACAAAAUAAGAAAGCGACAAAAUUCUUUUUACAAAUUGUUCGUUACAUCCUCAGGAAUUUUUGGCUAAUUUGGAUCGAAGCGAUUCGAUGAAAUUUUAUAGGAGUUAUGUACCUUUACGGAAUAAAUUUGUCGGUAUGUUUUUUUAAACUCAGAAACCGUUAACCGUAUAACCCUGGAAUGUUUUUAUUUGAGUCCCCUGGGUCCUAACUUAGAAAAUUAGGUCAAGGUCAAAGGUCAAGGUCAUAUUUUAGAUUUUCAUAUGUCUUUGAUUUCCCUAUAAUUCUUGAAUGGUUAUAGAUACAGAAAAUUUAAGCAGUGAAAAAUGUUCAGUACUUCAAGGGGCAACUUUGUUACAUUAUGACUGUAUUGGUUUUACCAUUAUGUAAGGGACAUAACACCCAUUGAUGGUUUAUAAAAAGCCAUUAUUAGGCAAAACUCUUAAACAAAAGGUCCUUGACCCAUAGGGUCUUUUGCAAUGACAUUGUGAAGCAAUGACCUUGACAAAGGUCACAAGGUCAAAGGUCAAGGUCAUGUACAUAUGUGAUUUGGGGCACGACUUGAAGAAUUUUAUGUGUGUUUG
rnacentral:lncRNA from 1 species